rnacentral:rRNA from 1 species
CAGUAGCCGCGGGAAUACAGAGGGUGCGAGCGUUAAUCGGAUUUACUGGGCGUAAAGCGCACGCAGGCGGUCUGACAAGUCAGAUGUGAAAUCCCCGGGCUUAACCUGGGAACUGCAUUUGAAACUGUCAGGCUGGAGUCUUGUAGAGGGGGGUAGAAUUCCAGGUGUAGCGGUGAAAUGCGUAGAGAUCUGGAGGAAUACCGGUGGCGAAGGCGGCCCCCUGGACAAAGACUGACGCUCAGGUGCGAAAGCGUGGGGAGCAAACAGGAUUAGAUACCCGUGUAGUCCCUGUCUCUUAUAC